GGAGGGAGGAUCUCGUUUCAAAAGGGUUAACCCACAGCCAAUGAGAGCCUGGGGGAGCGGAUCCUGCUCACUCCAUUCAAGAAUCCCAAGUAUUCAAGAUGGACGGCAGGGAGUGUGGAAGGAGAAAGGGGGCGCGGGGGGAAGAGCCAGAUCUUUAGAGGAGCGGAGCGCCGCGGCCAGCCCAUCCCGGAGCCUCGGUUCGGCCGGCGGGUGGAGGGGCAGCUGGCGGGGACUCGAGCCCGGCGGGGACAGAGAGAGGCUGGCCGCGUACGAGAGGGCGUGAGAAGGGGAGCGAGGCCAGGAAGGGGAGCCAAAAGGGAGGGAAAGGCAGAGAAAGAGCCCGGGAAGAAGGAGGUGGCGGGCAGAGGAACCUAAGAAGAGCGAUGUGCUGGGCCCCAUUCCUGCUGCUCUGGCGGGCAGGGGCCGGAAGAUGGUGGCCAAUGAGGAGGGGGAGUGGAGAGAACUUGAGCCAGGGCCUCCCCUCCCCCAUUUCCUCCUCUGUUUCUACACCCGCUUCUGGAAGGAGCUGGGGGGAUGGCUCCUAGGCCCAAGGUGGGGGAGGGGUCCUGCUGGCUGUUGAAUUGCUUGUCUCCCCUCUCAGGAAUGAGUUGAGCACGUGAGCUCCAAGGGACUUAGUGUCCCAGCUGCCUUUCCCUUCUUUCCUUAAGGAAAGAUCUGGGGACUCCUUGAUGAAGAAUCUUCUUUGGCUACCGUGAAGCGUACUGGGUAGUCUUGUCUUUGUCCCUUUGCCCCAUGUUGGCCUGGUCCAGUUCCCAACUGGCUUGCCCAACUCCAGGAGCAAAGAGGCCUGGCGACUGACCCAAGCGGGGCCUUGGUUUCCGUCCAUUAGAACUGUGCAAACUGGGGCAGGGCCCCGUGUUUGCAGAUUACAAGAACAAACUCUGCCUGGGAAGGCGGGAAAGAACCUCUCCUGCUUCCUGAGGGGGUGGAAGGAGGCUUGGGGGGGGGCGGGAGGAAGAGAUCCCAAAUGGAAUUCAGUCCUCCAUUUUUCCUGCUUGUAGAGGUGGAAGGUAGGGGGUCUCCCUGAGGCUGCUCCAUGAUUGGAAUGAAUCUUUCCACAGAGAGGAGUCGCCUCCCUGCCUCUGUCCCUUUGGUCAAACUGUAGCUGGCUUCUGGUUAGUAGCUCCAGCUGGUGUGUGACUCUAGAGCCGAGUCCUUGGGCUUCCAAGUGCACCUGGCUUUGCGUUUUCACUAGUCUCUGUGGACUCAGGAUAAAGGACGAUGGACUAGGGACAUGAAAACAACUGUGAAGUUUCUGAUACUAAGCUUGGGGGCGGACAGAAAACUUGACUUAUAAUCUCACUAUCAAUGAAAGCUUAUCAUUAAGAGCCAAAUCACUGGCUAUUUUGCUUACUACCACAUUUAUAGAUUGCUUUGACGACCUCAGAGAACAGUGCUUGCAUCUCCAGAACUGGGAGCUUCUCUUCUGCCUAAGCACCUGUAACUAUAUCCCAUCACUCAGGUCCUGGAGUUCCACAACCCGAGGCAUCUUUAUCAGAAACUUAAGUUAGCUUUAGACUGGAGAUGGGUAGAAGGUUCUGUGCUUCUGGGUGGCAAGGUUCUCUCUGAAAGGUUGUAAGCAGACAUGCAACCUCAUGCUAUUCUCACCUGGACUAUUUUGAAAACAAAACAAAAGUUAUUUCCUUUGAGGGAUCAUUUUCAAAUGCUGGGAAUCCCUUAGCUGCCUCAUCUGGGCCUGCACCACCACCCGGCAGGGAAGAGAGGAAGGCUGUGAGCUGAGUGGGCCAGGGACUGGGAGAAAGGGUGAGGAGGCAGGGCCGGCAUGUCUUUGCUGCUGGCCGGAGCUCUUUUCACAUUGUGCUACUGUCUUCACCUAUAACGAGCAGUGCAAUGUUAAAAGGGCAUCGGCCUUGUAGUACUACCCAGUGCCGGCAGCCUCCUCAACAUCACUUUUUUUCUCCCAUCUGGGCACCAGUCAGCUACCCUGGUGAAAAUCUGGAUUUAUGGAGCCGUUUACAUGUGCGGUUCAUAGGCUAGACAUUGCAUACAUCACCAUGAACCUGUUACUUAUUGGCAAAUAACAUCCCCAUUUGUUGGAUCAAAAAACCAGAGGGCUGGAAAAGUUUAGGCUGUUUGGCUAAGGCUGAUUAGCUCGUAAAUUAGGACUCUGUCCUGAGCCCAACAGGAAGGUACCCAUCUUUUUUGUCAGGCGAGAUUUGAACUGAGGGAGUGAAAGGUUUUGAUGCCACCUGCUGGUUACGUGAAGGUAUCCUCUGAAGUCUUCAGCUUUUAGGGAUAAGCCUGGAAGCAAUUUCUUAAAUGAAGGUCUGAGUUUUCAGGCAAAGCUUGAGAUGGACAGUUAGUUGUUGGUGAAGUGUGGGAGAAAUGUUAUGAGGCCCACAGAAGAACUCUGGGAACAAGGAGGAACACAGGAAAGGAAAGGGGCUAACAGAAAAGAACAGUUGCCUAGGCAAAGGCUUCAGCAUCGCUAGUGUCCUCUGCCUCUUAUGUGUGGGAAGGAGGUCUCUUCACCCAUAGUUUUCAGCAUGACCUGCUUGCUGAGCACAUCACUUGAUAGUGAUGGCUCUUGAGGGCAAACCUGCCUGGGCAUCCAAGAUUUGGACAGCAUUACUUAUGGUCUUAAAAGAUUAAUUUCUUAAGCCAGACCCAGAGUCUUCUCACGUUCCACAACCAUACCAUUUACUUUUCUGUCUUUCACAGGACUCUCCUUGAGGAGUUUUGAGCUUGCUCUGGUGAAAGAAGUGUGACCAAGAUAUGGAAUUGAAUCUCUACUAGAGUUUAAGGAAAGAAAACAAUUGGUAUCAAUGGAACUGAACAAUGGUGUCAGGCCAGGCAUUCUUUGACCCCAGCACUCAGAUGUUUUUGACUUGUGUUUGCCCUUUUGUGCCUGCCAGUUCUUUGUCCUGCCCACUGUCUCCCCAUUCUGAUGUUAACAGUAUUUUGAGAUAGUAUAGAUAAUACUAAAUCCAUUACUUCCAGCUAUUAAAGUUAUGUGAGGGGCUGGAGAGAUGGCUCAGCCGUUAAAGGGCUAGGCUCACAACCAAAAAUAUAUAAAGUUAUCUGAGCCCUCCUGGGCAUAGAGGUGCAUGCCUUUAAUCCCAGCACUUGAGAUUAGCAUGGUCUACAUAGGAAGUUCCAGUCAAGCCAGAGAUAUAUUUGCCUGUGGGCCCCUCCCCUGAACAAAAGUUUCAUGUCUGGCACAAAACAGCUAUUUGACAGUGUCAUUCCACUCUGUAAAUUUGGGGAUGGGGUUGUCGCUCAGUAGAUAGAGAGCUUUCAGAGAAUGCAGGAACCCCUGGACAACACAACCUAAAGCCAGAUAUGGUAUAACAUGCUUGUAAUCCCAGCACCUGGAAGGUGGAGGCAGAAGGAUUAGAUGUUCAAAGUCACAUAGCAAGUUAGAAGGCCAGCCUAAACUAUAUAAGACUAUUUAGGAAUAACAGUAGUUUGUUUGUGUCUUCAUAGUGUCCUUCAUAGUGACCCCCUCAGCAAACCUCUAUCUCCAAAAAAUACUUACAUUCUGGUCUAUAACAGCAAAAUUGCAGUUAUGAAGUAGCAACGAAAAUAAUUUUAUGGUUGGGAGUCAUCACACAUGAGGAAUUGUACUAAAGUGUUGCAGCAUUAAGGUUGAGAACCACUGCUCUAAGUGUACAGCUCUUCUGUUCAAUCUCUUAUGUCUCAUUCUCUUGUACUUCUAGCCACAGAAAAACACAAUUUCCUCAAAUUAGCCAAGUUUGUGCCAUAUCACAUAGUUCUGUCUGAAUCCCUCUCUCUGGUCUUGCCCUUUGCCUGCUCAUCUUUCCAUCACGGUCUCUCUUCUGUAAAGCUGACUCUUGAGAUCUAGGUGAAGUUCCUUAAUCUUCCUCUGGACUAGAGCCCUUAUCUUCUGUUGGGGCCUUCUGGCCACUAGACAGAGUUCCAAGAAGUCACGCCAUGGCUGGCUUGCUCGCCAUGCAUCCCCAGAGUUCAUCACAAUGCCUGGGAAGUAUUAGAGUACGUAGCUAUAAAUAAUCACAAUAUCUAUGACUUGAUCUGGAAAUAAUGAUGUAAGCUAAUAGAUGAGUUUUACCAUGUAGAUUGUCUCCCCCAUAAGGGCUGAGCUGCUCCAAAUUGAAACUUCACAUCAGUGCACCUACCCAUGUUCUUGACAUCACAUUUUUGUGCUGAUGGCUAUAGUUUUGAGCUACAUCUUACUUUGGAUCAACUGCCAGCAGCAGUCGAUAGAUUUUCAUUUUAGACUCAAGGUAUCCAUGAGUUGAUUAAAACAUUCUAGGACCAGGCCAAAAAAAACAAACAAGGAGACACAAACCACCAACUUGUGGAAUAAGUUUGCACUAGCUGCUUAUCCUGAAUCCAGAUAAAAAAGUAACCUCAUUUGGGAAAAAUCCAGGGGACCAAAAACAUUAGAUGGUUCCUGUGGACAAACUCAUCAGAACCCAUGCCUCAUGAUUCACCUGGAUGCUUACCGCUUGUGAAACAGAUGGAGAAUCUUGCCAUAGACAAAACAACUGCUGCCUCCUACCGGUUAAAAAAAGGGGGCCUUGAUGGUGUACAUGAUGGGGACGUACAAGAUCCAUACCUAUGGAAGGAAAGUCAGGACAGUACCUCACAGUUGCUUUUCCCCUUUUUAUUAAAAAUAGACCCAAACA